GGUUGCGAUCAUACCAGCACUAAUGCACCGGAUCCCAUUAGAACUCCGCGGUUAAGCAUGCUUGGGCGAGAGUUGAACUAGGAUGGGUGACCCCCUGGGAAGUCCUCGUGUUGCAACUC
rnacentral:rRNA from 1 species